UACGUAUGGUGCAAGCGUUAUCCGGAUUUACUGGGUGUAAAGGGAGCGCAGGCGGUACGGCAAGUCUGAUGUGAAAGCCCGGGGCUCAACCCCGGUACUGCAUUGGAAACUGUCGAACUAGAGUGUCGGAGGGGUAAGCGGAAUUCCUAGUGUAGCGGUGAAAUGCGUAGAUAUUAGGAGGAACACCAGUGGCGAAGGCGGCUUACUGGACGAUAACUGACGCUGAGGCUCGAAAGCGUGGGGAGCAAACAGG
rnacentral:rRNA from 1 species